UCAGAAGCGUCGUGAGCGGCGGGCGUGCAUCAGAAUGGCGUAUCACGUGGACCAGGCGGCCUUCUUCCGCGGCGCUAGUUGGCAGACAGCGGUAGUGGAGUGAGCUAGCGCUCCAGGGCAAGUGGCGUGGGAAGGCGCAGACCUAGAACCUAUUACAGACUCAAUCCCAGGAGCACGUGAAGGCUCAAAUCUUGAAGCAGACACCUCCCAGGGCUACAUCAGUGUCUCCUGGCCAGAGUGCACUCAGCUGCUGCAUAUCUGCUUCUGCUCCCGCCUGACAUGGCAGCCAGGAAGACUUGACCCACAGGAGUCUGUGACAGUACCUGUCAAACUAUUGUAUUUUGGGGGGUAAAUAGAGGGGCAUCAGAAUGUUUUAUCUGGAUAAUGAGAAAUACAUCAAGAAUUAAUUGGUAAUCAUCAGGUUAAUGUCAGUUCCUGCAGUGGAAGAUCAUGAUCUCUCACUCUGUAUUUACACAGAGCGGGUUCUGAGACUCAGCCUGUUGAUAGGCUUGGUUGCUUUCAAGAAGAAUCCUACAGUUCUCUUCCUCAGGGCUGCCUGAGGUGGCACCAUCUACUAUUCAGCAUCAUGGCCACCCUCAAACUGCUUGUGAAGCCCAAGAUCAUCAAAAAGAGGACCAAGAAGUUUAUGGGGCACCCAGUGGUAAGACAAUGCAUGGCAAGGAUGAUGAGAGAUAAACCCUCAGAAGUUCUGGAGCCUGCCAUAUCUGUGACAUUUUUAGGGAUGGACUAUUCUAGGGCAAGCCAAGACAUCAUCUCUAAAGUGAGGACCAACUAUUGGAUCCUGCAUCCCUAACAAAGAAGGAGGCAUAGCACCUGAAGCACUUCUGGGUUUUGGAAUCAGUAUGUACUACAUUUGGGAAUACUGUUCUGACCCAUUUAUUGAGUAACUUAGAGAACUGCCAGUUUUGAGUGGGGCUCAGAGGAAAAAGGGCUCUGCUGAAGAUCUGGAUUGAAGGACAGCCUAUCCUGCCACUUAGCAGAACCAGUGGAUGAGGGGUGGGUUUAUUUCUGGUACAUAAGGACCCUGUGUGGCACCUCUGGCAAACCCCAACAGGAAAGUUGCAGCUGGGGCAAGAUGACCAUCCCUUCUGUAGCAGAGAACUCACCAAGUGAAAACAGUCUUUGGCACCAGACCCAAGAAGACUGUGUAUGUGAUUAUGUGACAGAAUCUGUCUGUCCUGUGCUGGCUAUUAUCACAACCACCAAGUGAAUCAGUCAAAAGUCAGUAGCAAGUCAUUGUGCUAUGAAAAAGGUAUUCUCCAAGAUGGACCCAAACUUUUCUAGAGGGCCACAGUCAUUUACAGGAUGAGUUGGCUAUGGCCAACUUCUACCUUUUUGUACCGUGAUCUCUUAGAAGACAGGAAAAAAAAUACAGGUCUGGUUCACAGAUGGGUCAGAUAUGUUGAUAUGUGCUGAAAAUGAUCUGCUGCUGUGCUAUAGUCCCACUCAGGGUGGCUCUAAUAGACAGCAGUGAGGGGGAACUUCUCCAUAAGGCAGAGCUUCAAACAACACACUUGGACAUUCACUUUGUAUGGAGGGAGGGGAUGAAGCAGUGGCUUAAGGCAGAAAUGCAUAUAUACUUCUAGGAUGUGAUAGAUGUCCUGAUGGUUGGUCAGGGACCUGUAAAGAGCAAAGGGGGAAGAUUAGAGGCAAGGACGUCUGAGGAAGAAGAUAUCUAUGGGAGUGGUUACAAAAUGUGUGUUUGUGCUUUUUGUUAAAACUGAAUGCAGGGCGGCACCUGUGGCUCAGUCGGUAAGGUGCCGGCCCCAUGUACCGAGGGUGGCAGGUUCAAACCUGGCCCCGGCCAAACUGCAACAACAACAAAAAAAUAGCCGGUGUUGGGCGGCGCCUGUGGCUCAGUGAGUAGGGCGCCGGCCCCAUAUGCCGAGGGUGGCGGGUUCAAACCCCCCCAGCCAAACUGCAACAAAAAAAUAGCCGGGCGUUGUGACGGGCGCCUGUAGUCCCAGCUACUCGGGAGGCUGAGGCAAGAGAAUCGCUUAAGCCCAGGAGCUGGAGGUUGCUGUGAGCUGUAUGAUGCCAUGGCACUCUACCACCGGCCAUAAAGUGAGACUCUGUCUCUACAAAAAAAAAAAAAAAUAGCCGGUGUUGUGGCAGGCGCCUGUAGUCCCAGCUACUUGGGAGGCUGAGGCAGGAGAAUCACUUAAGCCCAGGAGUUGGAGGUUCUGUGAGCUGUGUGAUGCCAUGGCACUCUACCUAGGGCCAUGAAGUGAAACUCUGUCUCUACAAAAAAAAAAAAAAAAAAAAAAAACAAUGCAGAGGAAUCACUGAAUAAAAAGACAGGUGGACAGGAUGUUUGCAGCCAGAUCUGUCCUUGGCUGCCACUGAACUUGGAUAGUGGGCCCAUGAGUGGAGGAAACAUGGUAGCCACAGUGCAGGUUAUGUCCACCAGUACACCGACCCUCUCUUAUCAAGGCCUAUUUAAUUGUUACUGCUGCUGUCUGCAGCUGAGCCCCUGCUAUGGUACCAUCCAAAAAGGACACAGACUAGUCACUUAGUGGCAACUUGAUUAUAGCUGAUCUUUUCUACCCAGGAGAGGGCAUUGAUUCAUCCUCACUGAAAUUGACACCUGCUCUGGAUAUGGGUUUUCCCUCUUUAUCCACAGUGUCUCAGGCUAGCAUUAUAAUCCAGGAGCUUCAAGAAUCUCAGUUUACUGCUCAGCACCUGUAGCUCAAGCGGCUAAGGCGCCAGCCACAUACACCUGAGCUGGCAGGUUUGAAUCCAGCCCAGGCCCGCCAAACAGCAAUGACGGCUGCAAGUAAAAAAUAGCCAGGCGUUGUGGCAGGCGCCUGUAGUCCCAGCUACUUGGGAGGCGGAGGCAGGAGAAUCGCUUGAGCCCAGGAGUUGGAGGUUGCUGUGAGCUGUGACGCCACUGCACUCUACCAGGGUGACAGCUUGAGGCUCUGUCUCGAGAAAAAAAAAAAAGAAUCUCAGUUUACCAACAUGGGGUCAUGUAUAAAAUUGUGUCAAGGCACUGUAAAGGAGAUAUGGCAGUGCAUGGAUUGUAAUGGGAACCACUGCUUUUCUAGUAUCUUGCAUUAUCCACAAACAGCCUUCAAACAGAAAGAUAGAAUGACCUCUUAAAGCAGUGGUUCUCAACCUUCCUAAUACUGCGAUGUAUUUUCAUUGUUACAAAGGGAAUGACCAUGGGUUGAGAACUGCUGUCUUAAAGGCUUAGCUAAGACCCUCACUCUAGGACAGUAUCCUGAGUAGUUGGGAUAUGCACACUGAAUCAAAACCCAACGUAUGGUGUUGGGAACCUAAGGGUUGGGAUUUGUCACUUCUCACACAUCAUUCCCACGACUCACAUGUAGAAUUUGUAUAUUCUGUUUCCACAACCUUAGAAUCUGCUGAAUUAAAGCCUGGUCCCAGGUGGAGAACACUUCCAUGAGGGGACUUCCACUGGUGCAGGGAAGGACACCUCCACUGAACCUGAAUCUGCAAACACCACCAAGUCACUCUGAGCACAUACUGGUGGACCAAUAAUAGGCAAAAAAGGAAGGUAAAAUUGAGCCCGAUUAUCAUAAGAAAGUAGGGUUGCUGCUGGCCAGUGGGGCAAACAGGAGUUGGUCUUAGAGGACCACCUAGAGGAUUCACUUUUGUCAGUCUGGGUGCUUCCAUGCCAUGUAAUAACAGCAAAAACACAUUUUCAGCAGCCACAGCCCGCUAAGGGUGAGGCAGCUAAGGGCUCUGAGCCCCCAGAGAUGAAGGGAUGGCAUGCCGUGUAGGCCUGCUGGAAUCCUGGCUGAGGGUGAGGCUGUGGAGGAGGGACAAUGAUGAAUACCUGUUGGAACUGUGGGACAAGUGCAGCAGUCAGAACCAUCUUUGUUCUACUAACCUUGUGUUGAAGCUUUUUUUUUUUUUUGCAGUUUUUGGCCGGGACUGGGUUUGAACCCCUCACCUCUGGUAUAUGGGGCCGGGGCCCUAUUCCUUUGAGCCACAGGCGCUGCCUGUGUUGAGGCUUUUGUGGAAGUCAUAACCAGCCUUCACCUUGAAGAAUCUUGACAGAGUAGACUCCAUGUGUUGCCUGAAUAGAUCUGAGGGGUGCAGGAGUUGGUGUCUUAACUGAUUCUCUCAGCCCAUCUUUACCUACAGCAUACUUAAAGAGCUGCAUCUCAGGCACCUGCUGUGUGUCUUUGCACUUUCUACCCAGGCCUUCUCUGACACCAUAGGAACCCACUCAGCCUAUAUACCAGCACAGUCUUGGUCUGGGGGCAACCUUAGUGACCAAAGACUAGAAUCAGUGGGUAAAUAGUUGGCCAAUACUGAGAGGCAUUCUUUUUUUUUGUUUUAUUUUUUUUUUGUUUUUAUUUCUUAGUACCAAUAAGUUUUAUUGAGUUAUAAUCCAUUAAUACAAACAAUAAAAUACAUCUGUAUUAAGUGAACGUUUUGAUCUUUUUGUUGUUGUUGUUGUUGUUGUUUUUUAUUGGGGAUUCAUUGAGGGUACAAUAAGCCAGGCAUUCUUUACAUUUCUCGUGAAGUCCUGGUGAAACCAAUGUGCUGUUACCCAGUGCAAUGACUUGAGUAGCACACUCUUACGUCGUGAACUCUAAUUGGUCUAAUUUAUGCCCAUGACUUCAAUUAACAUAUGAUUGUGAUUAAAUAGUCACUCGAUUAGGUAUGAUAUUCUCAGAUUAUUGUAUUAGUUUUCUAUUGCUGCUGUAAAUAAAUUACCACAAACAUAGUGACUUAAAAUAACAGAACUUUAUUCUUUCAUAGUUCUGGAGGGCAGAAUUUUAAACUCACUGUGACUAGGCUGAAAUCUAAGUGUUGGCAGGACUUACUCUGGAGGCUGUAAGGGAGAAUCCAUUCCUUGUGUCUUCCAGCUCUGGUAGCUGCAGGCAUUCCUUAGUUUGUGGAUGCAUUGCUCAAAAGUAACUUCUCUUUUCUGUCUGCAUUAUCCCCUCUGCCUCUCUCAUAAGGAACUUGUGUUGCAUUUGUGGUUUACCUGGGUAGGUAGUCCAAGAUAAUCUCAUCUCAAGAUCUCUAAUCACCUCAGCAAAGAUCCUUUUUCUGAAUAAGGUAACGUGGGUUCAGGGGUGAGGAUAUGGGUAUAUUUUGGGGACCAUUUUUUCACCCUACCACAGACACUAACUCUUUCACAGCUUUCAACUUGUUGCUCCAUUGGGUCCUAGUCCUUGAAUAUUGCAGUUGAAAAGUUCUGAGUCCAGCCUUUCUCCCUUGGAUAUGAUUUGAUUCUUUUGCCAGAAUACUUGAAGAAGUAUAGAAUACUAAUGGGGGGGAAUUUUUUUUUUUUUUUUGAGACAGAGUCUCACUUUGUCACCCUCGGUAGACUGCUGUGGCCUCAUAGCUCACAGCAACCUCAAACUCUUGGGCUCAAGCGAUUCUCUUGCCUCAGCCUCCCAAGUAGCUGGGAUGACAGACUCCCACCACAACGUUGGCCCAGCUGUUUUUUAGAGAUGGGUUCUCACUCUGGCUCAGGCUGGUCUUGAACUCUUGAGUCAGGCAGUCCAUCUGCCCUGGUCUCCCAGGGUGCUGGGAUUACAGGCAUGAGUCACCGCGCCUGGCCAAUUAACUGUUUUUUAGAGACUGCAAAGAAAACCAACAGUUUCAAAUUUGGAGGCUAAAUUAAGAUUGUGUGAGGGAUAGAUGCUGAAAACUUAGAAUAAGAAACUGCUUUCACUGGAGCUGAAAUUCACAGAGUGGGCCAAGAAACCUUCAGUAUAGGAUGUUACCCAGUUCAAUGGGUAACUCCCUCAGGUGCCUGCUAGAAGCAAACACAAAUUCUCAAGGUACCCACUGCUAUAGUCUGAAGGUUGAUGUCUCCUCAAAAUUCACUUGUUGAGAACCAACAGAGUUGGGGCCUUUAGGAAGUGAUUAGGUUAUGAGAGCUCUGCCCUUGUGAAGGAGAUUAGUGCCCCAAUAAAAGGGCACCUGUUUGCCCCUUCAGACAUGUGAUGACACAGCAGGAAGGUUCCAUCUAUGAGGAAGAGACCCUCACCAGACACUAAAUCUGCUGGCAUCUUGGUCUUGGACUUUCCAGCCUCUAGAAAUGUGAGCAGUAAAUUUCUUUUUUUUUUUUUUUUGUAGAGACAGAGUCUCACUUUAUGGCCCUCGGUAGAGUGCCAUGGCAUCAAACAGCUCACAGCAACCUCCAACUCCUGGGCUUAAGCGAUUCUCUUGCCUCAGCCUCCUGAGUAGCUGGGACUAUAGGCGCCCACCACAACGCCCAGCUAUUUUUUGGUUGCAGUUCAGCCGGGGCUGGGUUUGAACCUGCCACCCUCGGUAUAUGGGGCCGGCGCCUUACCGACUGAGCCACAGGCGCCGCCCGAGCAGUAAAUUUCUAUUGUUUAUAAAUUACCCAGUCUAAGAGUAUUUUGGGCCAGGUGUGGCAGUUCACACCUGCAACCCUAGCACUCUGGGAGGUUGUGGUGGGAGAUCAUUGAGCUCAGCGGUUUCAGACCA